AGUGAACGCUGGCGGUAGGCCUAACACAUGCAAGUCGAACGGCAGCACAGUAAGAGCUUGCUCUUACGGGUGGCGAGUGGCGGACGGGUGAGGAAUACAUCGGAAUCUACUUUUUCGUGGGGGAUAACGUAGGGAAACUUACGCUAAUACCGCAUACGACCUACGAGUGAAAGCAGGGGAUCUUCGGACCUUGCGCGAUUGAAUGAGCCGAUGUCGGAUUAGCUAGUUGGCGGGGUAAAGGCCCACCAAGGCGACGAUCCGUAGCUGGUCUGAGAGGAUGAUCAGCCACACUGGAACUGAGACACGGUCCAGACUCCUACGGGAGGCAGCAGUGGGGAAUAUUGGACAAUGGGCGCAAGCCUGAUCCAGCCAUACCGCGUGGGUGAAGAAGGCCUUCGGGUUGUAAAGCCCUUUUGCUGGGAAAGAAAAGCAGCAGGUUAAUACCCCGCUGUUCUGACGGUACCCAAAGAAUAAGCACCGGCUAACUUCGUG
rnacentral:rRNA from 1 species